rnacentral:rRNA from 1 species
UACGUAGGGGGCGAGCGUUGUCCGGAAUUAUUGGGCGUAAAGGGCGCGUAGGCGGCUACUUAAGUCUGAUGUAAAAGGCCACGGCUCAACCGUGUGCAGGCAUUGGAAACUGGGUAGCUUGAGUGCAGGAGAGGAGAGUGGAAUUCCCGGUGUAGCGGUGAUAUGCGUAGAUAUCGGGAGGAACACCAGUGGCGAAGGCGGCUCUCUGGCCUGUAACUGACGCUGAGGCGCGAAAGCGUGGGUAGCGAACAGG